rnacentral:rRNA from 1 species
GACGAACCGAGCGAACGUUGUUCGGAAUCACUGGGCUUAAAGGGCGCGUAGGCGGGCGGUUAAGUCUGCGGUGAAAUCCUCCAGCUCAACUGGAGAACUGCCGUGGAUACUGGCUGUCUCGAGGAAGGUAGGGGCGUGUGGAACUAUCGGUGGAGCGGUGAAAUGCGUUGAUAUCGAUAGGAACUCCGGUGGCGAAGGCGACACGCUGGACCUUUUCUGACGCUGAGGCGCGAAAGCCAGGGGAGCAAACGGG